rnacentral:rRNA from 1 species
AAUAAGCGGAGGAAAAGAAACUAACAAGGAUUCCCCUAGUAACUGCGAGUGAAGCGGGAAAAGCUCAAAUUUAAAAUCUGGUGGCCUUUGGCCAUCCGAGUUGUAAUUUAGAGAAGCGUAUUCCGCGCCGGACCGUGCACAAGUCUCCUGGAAUGGAGCGUCGUAGAGGGUGAGAAUCCCGUCUUUGGCACGGACGACCGGGGCUUUUGUGAUGCGCUCUCGAAGAGUCGAGUUGUUUGGGAAUGCAGCUCAAAAUGGGUGGUGAACUCCAUCUAAAGCUAAAUAUUGGCGAGAGACCGAUAGCGAACAAGUACCGUGAGGGAAAGAUGAAAAGCACUUUGGAAAGAGAGUGAAACAGUACGUGAAAUUGUUGAAAGGGAAACGCUUGAAGUCAGUCGCGUCGUCCGAGACUCAGCCUCGCCUCGGCUUGGUGUACUUCUCGGCCGACGGGUCAGCAUCAAUUUUGCCCCUUGGAUAAUGGCGAGGGAAAUGUGACACCCUUAUGGGGGUGUGUUAUAGUCUCUCGUCGCAUGCAAGGGUCGGGAUUGAGGAACUCAGCACGCGCCUUUGGGUGUCGGGGUUUUCGCCCACGAUACGUGCUUAGGAUGUUGGCGUAAUGGCUUUAAACGACCCGUCUUGAAACACGGACC